ACACCUAACAAUUAAAUCAAAUUGAAAAAGAAAACAUGGAAAUGGUGAGAGGACAGGCAACAUAUUAAGCAACCUCAUACAUGAAAAAUGCUUAUCGCGUAAUUAAAUCAAAUUUACAUAAAAAAUAACAUCCUAAAGAAUAUAAUUUAAAAAACUAAAAAGAAAACUUAUCUUUCUCUCUCUUCCCAAGCAUGAAAACACC
rnacentral:lncRNA from 1 species